CACACAUUCAGUGACAGACAUGCAUACACUAGCUAACAGACAUACACACUCACUAACAGACACAUACAGUCACUAGCAGACACACACAUUCACUAACAGACACGCAUACACUCUAACUAACAGACACACACAUAGUAACACACUCCCUGACAUACACACACUCACUAACAGACACACACUCACUUACAGACACACACAUUCACUCACUAAGAGACACACACACACACUAACAGAAACACAC